AUUUACAAACAAUGAACUUAUAACUAACCGAAUUGGCCUGGCCAACUGAAGUUAAAGCUCACCAAGUAAGCGAAUAAGGUUGAAAAUGA
rnacentral:misc_RNA from 1 species